rnacentral:rRNA from 1 species
CUGAUAUCAGGCACUGCCCAAAACAUCUAGCCACGCCACACCCACAAGGGCCCUCAGCAGUGAUUAACCUUAAAAAUAAACGUCAGUUUGAUUUAGCCAUGAAAAGAGCCGGCCAAUCUGGUGCCAGCCGCCGCGGUUACACCUAUGGCUCAAGUUGACUUCCGGCGUAAAGCGUGAUUAAAGAUGGGGUCAAACUUAAAUAAGACUGUGAAAAGUUUAUUCUUAAGCCUACCUCGAAAGAUACCCCAACCAACCAACUUGAACUCACUACAACUAAGAUACAAACUGGGAUUAGAUACCCCACUAUGCCUGUCGUAAACUUUAACUUUCGCCAGGGAACUACGAGCAAAGCUUAAAACCCAAAAGACUUGACGGUGCCCCACAUCCUUCUAGAGGAGCCUGUCCUGUAAUCGAUACUCCCCGUUCAACCUCACCAUUUUUAGUUCAGCCUGUAUACUUCCGUCGUCAGCUUACCGCGUGAGCGAAAGUAAGCUUAAUGCCCCC